rnacentral:rRNA from 1 species
GACGUAGGAGGCGAGCGUUGUCCGGAUUCAUUGGGCGUAAAGAGCACGCAGGCGGUGCAGCACGUUUGGGGUUACAGCUCCCGGCUCAACUGGGAGAGCGCCUCGAAGACGGCGGCACUUGAGGGCCAGAGAGGGACACGGAACUCCGGGUGGAGUGGUGAAAUGCGUAGAUAUUGGGAAGAACACCGGUGGCGAAGGCGGCGCUCUGGACCGAGACUGACGCUGAGGCGCGAAAGCGUGGGGAGCAAACAGG